rnacentral:rRNA from 1 species
UACGUAGGGGGCAAGCGUUAUCCGGAUUUACUGGGUGUAAAGGGAGCGCAGACGGCAGUGCAAGUCUGAUGUGAAAGCCCGGGGCUCAACCCCGGAACUGCAUUGGAAACUGCACAGCUCGAGUGUCGGAGGGGUAAGCGGAAUUCCUAGUGUAGCGGUGAAAUGCGUAGAUAUUAGGAGGAACACCGGUGGCGAAGGCGGCUUACUGGACGAUGACUGACGUUGAGGCUCGAAAGCGUGGGGAG